CAAGGAUCGGGGAAAUGAUGAUCAUGUGUACUUUCAUUUUUUGUAGACUCAGCUUUAUUAUCCUAAUGAAAUAUCACACAGUCCCCCACCAGGAUGGUAAUCAUCAUCAUCACCAGUAUCAUAAUCAUCUCCCUUUCAGGAAGAAGGACCAAAUGGGAGAAGAUAAGGGUACAGAGAAAAGGACACAGCAUAGCAAGAAGAAAUGGAAUGAGAACUUUUGGUGCAGAUUGAGAGAGGUAUGAGAUCAGUGGUUUUGCUCUGCCACCUAUUCCUACCAUGAGGGCUCAACACAGGCCUAAAACAACAUGGAUCAAUUGACAAGAGACUAAAGCCUCCUAACUUUGAGUCAAAAGCAACCCUCUUGUCUUGAUAAGGUGACUACCUGAAAGCUUACUGACGGUGAAUUGUUGUUUGUGAAAUUGCUACUCUAUUAAGAAUUUUAUCAUGUCUGACUUCAUUAGAACUCUUAUUUGGCUAGCUGCUAAUGCAAUCAGGAUUUUAUAUUCUAUCAUUUUACAUACAAGUGAAUACUUAGUCUUCAGCCAACCAUAUUAUUCCAUAAUUACCUCAGCAGCAUAAAGCAGCCACCUCCCAUGUAUGAUACCAAGAAGCCACACACAAAAAAACAACGCAUAACACAUAUCUUUCCAGUAUAUAUGGGAAUAUAUAUAUAUAUAUAAAUAUGUGAAUAUAUAUAAUGUGAACUAUACAUAUAUUCACAUUUUGAAGUCUAUUCACAUUUGCAACUCUAAGUAAUGUCAAAGAAGGCAUCUUUUCCCCCAUAAUACAUGGAAGGGGUAGAAAUUACGAAGAAUGGAGGCAAGUAAUGUCAGUGGAAAAUAUAAACUGGUGCAAACUUCAGUUUUACAUACGUGCUUAUAGGUUUAUAUUUGCUUUGUAGAGAGGGAUUCUGAAGGACUCUGAUUUAAUUGAUAUGACCUCAAAGCUCAGCUUGAGUAUAUGAUGAGUAUUGAACAAAUCAUUAUAGAAUAAAAUGAUUGAAGAAUAAUUUUCUAUGUUCUUUUAAAAAAUGAAUUCAUGUGAGCUAAAGAGUACAGUGUACUAGCAGACAGUACAGUAGAAAUGAUACUGGAGAUAACAUCAAAAGAGCAGAUCUGGAUCUCUGGCAUUUACUAGUUAGUGGUAUAACUUACUACAGGUUACUUUACCUUCCUUUCUUCAAGGUCUAGUGACAAAAAAUUAGGUGGGAGAAAUUGUUUUAUAAAACCUGAAUAUACACAAAGGUUAAAUGGUAUUUUAAAGCUAGAAUAACUUAUUUACUAGCACCUUCUUUGCAUCUACUGACUUAUUUCUGGCCAGAAUCCAACCACGAUAUUAUUUCCUAUCAUGUGCAAUACAUUGGUUUCCCAGGAUACUCUAUUCGUUUUGACAGUCAGGAAGAUAUGCCUAAGGAAUGGACAUUUCUAGAAAUGCUAUUGCAUUUGACACUGUCUUUAAAAGAUAGAUCUCCAGGAACUAACAUUUUAACCUGUGACUUUAUAUUAUUUUCUAGUGAUGACUUGCAUUAUAGAGCUGUGAGAAAUAAACUUCUGUUUUUUAAGCCCCCAUUGUAUGAUAUUUUGUUAUGUCAGCCUGAACUAAUUAAUGCAUGAGUAUUUCUGAGUAUUAAAAUAUUUGUAUUGAUUAAAUUAGUGAUGCUAGGCCAUGAAAACACUGAGUGUGGACACACACAGAAUCUUUUUUUUUUAAAUUUAAUUUUAUUGGUACAUUUAGGUAUACAAUAUAAUGACAUUUAUCAUUGGAAAUUUGCACCUUUACAUACUCUCUUGGUUCUUAUUUUUUCCCCAUUCCCCUGCCCUU
rnacentral:lncRNA from 1 species